UACGUAGGGUGCGAGCGUUAAUCGGAAUUACUGGGCGUAAAGCGUGCGCAGGCGGUUUUGUAAGACAGGUGUGAAAUCCCCGGGCUUAACCUGGGAAUGGCAUUUGGGGACUGCAAGGCUGGAGUUUGGCAGAGGAGACUGGAAUUCCCGGUGUAGCAGUGAAAUGCGCAGAUAUCAGGAGGAACACCAAUGGCGAAGGCAGCACUCUGGGACGUGACUGACGCUGAGGAGCGAAAGCGUGGGGAGCGAACAGG
rnacentral:rRNA from 1 species